rnacentral:rRNA from 1 species
UACGGAGGGUGCAAGCGUUAUCCGGAUUCACUGGGUUUAAAGGGCGCGUAGGCGGGCUACCAAGUCUGUGGUGAAAUCCUCCGGCUCAACCGGAGAACGGCCGUGGAUACUGGGAGCCUCGAGGGAGAUAGGGGCAGGCGGAACUGAUGGUGGAGCGGUGAAAUGCGUUGAUAUCAUCAGGAACUCCGGUGGCGAAGGCGGCCUGCUGGAUCUCAUCUGACGCUGAGGCGCGAAAGCCAGGGGAGCAAACGGG